UACGGAAGGCAGCAGUGGGGAAUAUUGCACAAUGGGCGCAAGCCUGAUGCAGCCAUGCCGCGUGUAUGAAGAAGGCCUUCGGGUUGUAAAGUACUUUCAGUCGUGAGGAAGGUGUUAAGGUUAAUAACCUUAGCAAUUGACGUUAGCGACAGAAGAAGCACCGGCUAACUCCGUGCCAGCAGCCGCGGUAAUACGGAGGGUGCGAGCGUUAAUCGGAAUUACUGGGCGUAAAGGGCACGCAGGCGGUUAAUUAAGUUGGAUGUGAAAUCCCCGGGCUUAACCUGGGAAUGGCAUUCAAGACUGGUUAGCUAGAGUCUUGUAGAGGGGGUAGAAUUCCGAUGUGUAGCGGUGAAAUGCGUAGAGAUGUGGAGGAAUACCGGUGGCGAAGGCGGCCCCUGGACAAAGACUGACGCUCAUGUGCGAAAGCGUGGGGAGCAAACGAGGGAUUUAGAUACC
rnacentral:rRNA from 1 species